UGGGGGAUAACGUAGGGAAACUUUCGCUAAUACCGCAUACGACCUACGGGUGAAAGCGGAGGACCUUCGGGCUUCGCGCGAUUGAAUGAGCCGAUGUCGGAUUAGCUAGUUGGCGGGGUAAAGGCCCACCAAGGCGACGAUCCGUAGCUGGUCUGAGGGGAUGAUCAGCCACACUGGAACUGAGACACGGUCCAGACUCCUACGGGAGGCAGCAGUGGGGAAUAUUGGACAAUGGGCGCAAGCCUGAUCCAGCCAUGCCGCGUGGGUGAAGAAGGCCUUCGGGUUGUAAAGCCCUUUAGUUGGGAAAGAAAAGCAGUCGGUUAAUACCCGAUUGUUCUGACGGUACCCAAAGAAUAAGCACCGGCUAACUUCGUGCCAGCGCCGCGGUAAUACGAAGGGUGCAAGCGUUACUCGGUUUUACUGGGCGUAAAGCGUGCGUAGGUGGUGGUUUAAGUCUGUUGUGAAAGCCCUGGGGUCAACCUGGGAAUUGCAGUGGAUACUGGGUCACUAGAGUGUGGUAGAGGGUAGCGGAAUUCCCGGUGUAGCAGUGAAAUGCGUAGAGAUCGGGAGGAACAUCAGUGGCGAAGGCGGCUACCUGGACCAACACUGACACUGAGGCACGAAAGCGUGGGGAGCAAACAGGAUUAGAUACCCUGGUAGUCCACGCCCUAAACGAUGCGAACUGGAUGUUGGGUGCAAUUUGGCACGCAGUAUCGAAGCUAACGCGUUAAGUUCGCCGCCUGGGGAGUACGGUCGCAAGACUGAAACUCAAAGGAAUUGACGGGGGCCCGCACAAGCGGAGGAGUAUGUGGUUUAAUUCGAUGCAACGCGAAGAACCUUACCUGGUCUUGACAUCCACGGAACUUUCCAGAGAUGGAUUGGUGCCUUCGGGAACCGUGAGACAGGUGCUGCAUGGCUGUCGUCCGCUCGUGUCGUGAGAUGUUGGGUUAAGUCCCGCAACGAGCGCAACCCUUGUCCUUAGUUGCCAGCACGUAAUGGUGGGAACUCUAAGGAGACCGCCGGUGACAAACCGGAGGAAGGUGGGGAUGACGUCAAGUCAUCAUGGCCCUUACGACCAGGGCUACACACGUACUACAAUGGUAGGGACAGAGGGCUGCAAACCCGCGAGGGCAAGCCAAUCCCAGAAACCCUAUCUCAGUCCGGAUUGGG
rnacentral:rRNA from 1 species